rnacentral:lncRNA from 1 species
AAUUUCAAAUUUAAAUGCAUGCUGUUGUAUCAUAUUUAGAUCCUAGUGUAGGGUUAAUUAGUAUUAAUUAAUAAGAUUAAUUAAUAAUUUUGCUGUAAAAUAGUAAUUUUUGAAAAAAUUUUAAAAUUACCAUUUUGCCCCUGCACUAAAUUUUCGCUACAGUUAUAUCUUUUUUCUAAUAAAUUUCAAAUUAUUGACUAUUCAGAUAGCAAUUGGGGGGAG